rnacentral:rRNA from 1 species
UACGUAGGGGGCAAGCGUUGUCCGGAAUCAUUGGGCGUAAAGCGCGUGUAGGCGGUUCGAUAAGUCUGCUGUGAAAGUCAAAGGCUUAACCUUUGAAUGCCAGUGGAUACUGUCGGACUAGAGUGCGGAAGAGGCAAGUGGAAUUCCUGGUGUAGCGGUGAAAUGCGCAGAUAUCAGGAGGAACACCAACGGCGAAGGCAGCUUGCUGGGACGUUACUGACGCUGAGACGCGAAAGCGUGGGGAGCAAACAGG